UUAAAUCUGUUCUCUUAUAUUCCCUCCUGAAAUUCUGAUCUCUGCAGAGAGCAGGGAGACGGAGACGCAAGGAGCGGGUGCCUUUGAAGUAUUGGUGCCACUAUGUUCUCAGCAAUCCUGUGGAAUUCACCAAUUACAAACGGGCUCUUGUACCAUCGGAAGGGGGAUUUGAAAGAUUGAAGCUUAUUUGCAAGACUGAGGCCCUUUCCUCGUUUGACGUUUACAUUGGCACCAGAAUCCCUUGGCAACUGAAAUGUUUUCCCCUGAUCUCACAACACCAGCUUUAUCUCCCUCUCAGACUUUAAGCAGUUUUAUGCCAAUUCUCCAUGUUCCCAAAACCACCCAGAUAAAACCUGAGGCACUAUGUUGUUUAACAGUUCCUUU